GACGAACGCUGGCGGCGUGCUUAACACAUGCAAGUCGAACGGAAAGGCCCUGCUUUUGUGGGGUGCUCGAGUGGCGAACGGGUGAGUAACACGUGAGUAACCUGCCCUUGACUUUGGGAUAACUUCAGGAAACUGGGGCUAAUACCGGAUAGGAGCUCCUGCUGCAUGGUGGGGGUUGGAAAGUUUCGGCGGUUGGGGAUGGACUCGCGGCUUAUCAGCUUGUUGGUGGGUUAGUGGCUUACCAAGUCUUUGACGGGUAGCCGGCCUGGGAGGGUGACCGGCCCCAAUGGGCCUGAGAAGCCGGCCGGAGUCCGACGGGAGGCAUCAGUGGGGGAUAGUGCACGAUGGGCGGAAGCCUGAUGCAGCAACGCCGCGUGGGGGAUGACGGCCUUUGGGUUGGAAACCGCGUUCGCCUGUGACGAAGCGUGAGCGACGGUAAUGGGUAAAGAAGCACCGGCUAACUACGUG
rnacentral:rRNA from 1 species